GAGAAAGAGGAACAAAGAUGAGAAAGGACCAGCAGUUAUUUGUGAGGCUGUGGCCAUCCCUACCCCACCCCAAACCACCAGCUGAGGGGAGGGAUGUUCAAAGAACCAAAUUUUCCAUUCCUCAAAGCCAAACAAGCGCGGAGAAUCAGCCGAGCCUCUCUAAAUUGGUGCCUGAUGGGGGAAUAAAAAGCUGAACCCGCUGAAAGGCCGCAUCUGUUAAAUGAAUCUACAGCCUGAGAACCAAAUCAAAACAGAUGUGUUCAAUCAGCAGGGAUCCCUCCCUCGGAGAGACACUUCUACCUCCGUGUCCUACGGCCAUUCCUCAAGACACCCACCCUGGCUCUCCUUCAGAAGACUGGCUCUGGCUCUGACAUCUGCCUCAGAAAACGUUUGCUGACCCCUGACCUAGAAGCUGUGAGGGCUGGUGGAGGAAAUCUUGUGAAGGGCAAGUAUCAUUUUGUAAAGCUCUGCCUCAGAGUGAAGAACAAUUCCUGGAGUGACCCUGACACCAGUGGGAAGCAAACAGGAAGAAGCAAAUCCCUUCUUCCUCCUCCAGCCUCCAGUGUCCCUCCAGCAUCCUCAGGGCCUCCUAGAGCCUAACAGGGAGCAGCUGCAGAGUGGAAAUAUGUGGUGUUCAGAGUCUUAGCUCCAACACCACAUAGUAGGGGUUACCAGGCUGAGCUGCAGUUGCUUAAUCAGCAGCACACGUCCCAGUUAUUCACAGGAGAAGAGAGUCUUCAUAACUGUGAUGCUAAAGCAUGCCAGGAGGAUAUUAUCACCCACUCACCACUAAGAACCAGCUCCUUGUUGCCACCUGAGCAGGAAAUGAUCCAAGACUGAGGAUCUGCUGCCUGGACCCCUUCUAAUACCAACUGUCUUAAUGUGGGUUCCCAGAAGCCAACCCUGAGGCAAGGAUUUGAGUGAAGUGGUUUAUUUGGGAGGUAGAGGGACAAAUAAAGUGUGUGUUGCCAGCCAG
rnacentral:lncRNA from 1 species